rnacentral:tRNA from 2 species
GGGUUCCUAACUCAAUGGUAGAGUACUCGGCUUUUAACCGAUGAGUUCCGGGUUCGAUCCCCGGGUAACCCA